rnacentral:lncRNA from 1 species
UGAAUAAUGUCAAUUAUAGACAGUGACAUUUGUAUAAGUUAUAACUGAAUAGUGUCAUUUAACCAGGGGGCUUAGCCCACUGGCCACCGGGUCCUCACUUAAGUGAAGUGACCCGGGUUCGAUCCCUCUUGGGAGCGAAUUGGAGAUUGGAGAUAUAAGGUGGAUCUUGGUGAAUGGAGAGAUAAGGUGGUUCUUGGAGUGGAUGGGGAACUAAUUACUAACAUCUAACAUGACUUUGCCCG